rnacentral:lncRNA from 1 species
CUUGUUUAGCUGAGUCCCUGAUGCUAAAAGGACAAGGUGAUCUUCAAAUUCUGUUUUCAGUGUGAUCAUGUUGCUGUCUCCUCCACAUUCUUCAGUAGCAUCUGGGUACUGACUUUUCAAUGAUGUGUCUUAAGAUGGAUCUAUUGCUAUUCAUAGGACUGGGAACAUGGUCACAUGGAGAAAACUGAGGACCAGCGAAGUGGCCUGCAGAAGUAACAAACUCCUUAACAAGUGCUAUGGCACCAGCUCAUCAGAAUGGACACUGGCUUUAAUGACUUUUGCAUUUCUGAAACCAGAUGACUUCACUGGAUGACUCCACUGAGACCCAAGACUCAAGACCCGACCAGUCCUGUGGCCCUCACGUCUACACAGUAUGUGUGAGGUUCAAUCUGACUAUCCAUCCUUUAUGGAAAUGCUACAUUACACAUUAACUCAAAGGCUGAGAAUCCAUUAAGUCAAGGCCUGCCAGGGAUUUUUCUAUGAGGCCCUAAACCAUGGUCUCUGCCAACAACUCCUCCAUCUCCCCAUGGCUCUCAAGAAAUAGAACUGCUCCAUCCUGAAGAUCCCUUGGAGCCUGUUGAGUUUUGUGGAAAAGAAAAUCACAUAAAGUUUUCUCCGUGACACACCUAGCAAGGCAUUUUCAAGUCCAAUUUAUUUACACAGGCCUAGCAGUACCCUGGAGAAUGCAUAUUUUCAUAUUUUCUCCCACUGUAUUGAACCCAUGCUUUGUAGCAGAUGUCAUAGAGCUGAUAUCGCAGAUAGCCAAGCUUUGCUGUAGAAGCAUGUGAAAAGACAGACAUCCAAAGAAACAUUGCAAAUGUGUACUACAUUAUCAAACUCUCCAAAUUUAGGCUUAUUCCUAGAAUACAAAUAUUUCUCAACCCAGCAGGCAGCCAGGUGCCCGCAAAUCCUGAAAUUAUAAAAACUUUGGCCAAGUUGAUUUACUUCUGCGGUCUCUUGUUGAAAAAUGUGUUGAUUCACAUUAAUGGCUUGAUGAAGGGGGGACUGGAGGACUAGAGGUAUCAGGGUGAAUAGGACUUGAUGGGUUUUGCUCUGUAAUCAGAGUGUCACUCAAUCAGAGUGUGUGGC